rnacentral:rRNA from 1 species
AGCAGCCGCGGUAAUUCCAGCUCCAAUAGCGUAUAUUAAAGUUGUUGCAGUUAAAAAGCUCGAAGUUGAAUUUUGGAUUCUGCCAAUUGGUCCAUCUUUUAGAUGAGUACUGGUUGUGUGGGGUCUAUCCGCCUGGUGAUACGUAAUGUCCUUUAUUGGAUGUUGCGGGUAGUCAGGACCUUUACCUUGAAAAAAUUAGAGUGUUUAAAGCAGGCUUAUGCCGGAAUACAUUAGCAUGGAAUAAUAGAAUAGGACGAAGUUGUUUUAUUUUGUUGGUUUCUAGGACAACCGUAAUGAUUAAUAGGGAUAGUUGGGGGCAUUAGUAUUCAAUUGUCAGAGGUGAAAUUCUUGGAUUUAUUGAAGACUAACUACUGCGAAAGCAUUUGCCAAGGAUGUUUUCAUUAAUCAAGAACGAAAGUUAGGGGAUCGAAGACGAUCAGAUACCGUCGU